UACAGAGGUCUCGAGCGUUAGGCGGAAUCACUGGGCUUAAAGCGUGUGUAGGCGGAUUGCUAAGUACCUUGUGAAAUCCCACGGCUUAACCGUGGAACUGCUUGGUAUACUGGCUGUCUUGAGCCACUUAGGGGCGACCGGAACAAAACGGUGGAGCGGUGAAAUGCGUAGAUAUCGUUUGGAACGCCAAAGGUGAAAACAGGUCGCUGGGAGUGUGCUGACGCUGAGACACGAAAGCCAGGGGAGCAAACGGG
rnacentral:rRNA from 1 species